CCUACGGGUGGCAGCAGUGAGGAAUAUUGGUCAAUGGGCGGAAGCCUGAACCAGCCAAGUCGCGUGCAGGAUGACGGCCCUAUGGGUUGUAAACUGCUUUUAUACGGGAAUAACGCGCCUUACGUGUAGGCCUUUGCAUGUACCGUAUGAAUAAGGACCGGCUAAUUCCGUUCCAGCAGCCGCGGGAAUACGGAAGGUCCGGGCGUUAUUCGGAUUUUUUGGGUUUUAAGGGAGGGUAGGCCGGAUGUCAAGCGUGCUGUGAAAUGUCCGGGCUCAACCCGGGCCUUGCAGCGGAAACUGGCGUGCUUGAGUGCGCGAAAAGCAGGCGGAAUGCGUGGUGUAGCGGUGAAAUGCUUAGAUAUGACGAAGAACCCCGAUUGCGAAGGCAGCUUGCUGCAGCGGAACUGACGCUGAUGCACGAAAGCGCGGGUAUCGAACAGGAUUAGAUACCCCAGUAGUC
rnacentral:rRNA from 1 species